AAUGAAAUAUUUGUGCUAUGAGUUUUCUGUUAUUAACUAAAUAGAAACAAGUACAAUUAACCAAAAGAUCACUUCAAUAUGAAACUUUUUAUAAACACAGUUAUUUCUUUCUUUCCUUUUUUUAAGCACUGUUGUGUAUCACUUAUAUUAACAUGGUUUUACCCUUUCCUGGAGUAUUAUAUUAAAUAAAUUGGCAUUAAAUACCUAAAUACAAAAUAAGAAUAUAAAUAACAAAUUAAAUAUCAAUAUUAUAAAACCAGGCUCUUUGUAUCUAUCUUGGACAUAUAUAACUACAAAUACUAAAUAGAUUGGAAAAUGAUAAACUAUUUUCUACCUACUUCAGAGUUGUACCUUUUAUGAUUUUUUAAAAAGUAAUUCCAACUCUUUUUUUACUUGCUUAUCUUUAACAACUAUUCUAAAGGGCUCCAAAAUCUUGGGAAGCCAGCCUUUUAUUUCUCUCACAGCAUAAAUUUUGUGGGACUUCUACAUCAAAAGAUUACAUUUAACUUGUAGUUCAUUUCAUGCCUACUCAUGGAAGAGCCGUCAGACAAGGGUCCUGGGCCACUAUGCCAUCUUCAAAAUUGAAAUAAAUUACAUUACCAUUUAAAGGGAAGGUUUGCUUGAAAAGAAAUUGACCUUAUUUAAAACGGAAAAAAACAGUAAGGUAUCUGCAUUCCUCCCCAUAUUCGUUAAGAUUUAAGUAGAUAAAAUUUUGUACAAAAAUGAACUCUUAAACAAUAUGUACAAUGCACUAAAAUGGAAUUUCCCAGCAGAGUUUGUACAAACAGAAACUAUGGAUAUUCUCAGAAUUUCAUUUGUGGUGUUAAUUCAACUCAUAGACCUAAGGUCAUUCAGUAAGCAUGUCUACUUAUCAAGCUGUACAUCGAGGAAGGUUUUCUUUUUUUUGUUUGUUUCCACAGGCAGAGUGGACAGUGAGAGAGAGAGACAGAGAGAAAGGUCUUCCUUUGCCGUUGGGUAACCCUCCAAUGGCUGCCAUGGCCGGCGCGCUGCGGCUGGGGCACCGUGCUGAUCCGAAGGCAGGAGCCAGGUACUUAUCCUGGUCUCCCAUGGGGUGCAGGGCCCAAGCACUUGGGCCAUCCUCCACUGCACUCCCUGGCCACAGCAGAGAGCUGGCCUGGAAGAGGGGCAACCGGGACAGAAUCCGGCACCCCGACCGGGACUAGAACCCGGUGUGCCGGCUCCGGAAGGCAGAGGAUUAACCUAGUGAGCCGCAGCGCCGGCCGCUAUGGCAGCUUUUAUCUUUGGACUAUGUCUAUGUGGAUUAGUGGAGUGUCUGCUUUCAUCGAAUACCUAGAGGCCUGUGGUGGGUUUGGCCAGAGAGCUCUUUCAGUGCUCCAGGUUGAAGGAAUUGUUAAGGUGACUGACACCCAGGUUGGACAUGGUAAAUCUUUUUUUUGUCACAGGGAAGGGUUGUCCUGCUCUGUUGGUGUAGACUCAGCUCACUUCCUCUCUUCAAAAGACACCAGUGCCUGGGUGCUAGCCUCAGUGGGUAUAUAAUAAAUGUGCUUCCACAAGUAGCACACAAAGGGUUUAUGCAGUCUUCACUGUAAGCAGAUUCACCAGCAGUGUCCCUCACCGUGGAACCAGGGAACCCUGAACAUGUGGAGUCUCCCACGGUGACUGCUCAAAGUCCCAGCCAUACCUUGAGUCCUCCCAUGCAGCCUCAGUGUUUUCAGAGUGCUGGCACUCAAGCCUCCCACAGUCACGAGCUCCCAGCCCCUGUCAGUUCUCCUUGCCUGACUUAGGAGUUUCUGCUUGGCUGGUUCCUGGACCCGGACAGGAGCUGGCUCAGCUGUUAGGUAUGUCCAUAAUGGCACACUCUCUCUAUCCACUCAUUACAGAGCACUAUUAGGGUGAUUGGGGAGAAAGUAACGUGCCCCCCCUCUUGUUUUCCAAAUCCGAUUCCAAAUCCGAUUCCCUCCAGGCUUCUCCUGCAGCUUUAUCCCCAGUGGCUUGGGCUGUGGCAGUCUGAUUUCAACCCACUCUCCAAAGCUGGUAUGGAGGCUCUCUGCUGCUGAGGUCCUGAUUUAUGUGUAUCCACACCCUCUACACUGAGUCACUCUAAUUUUUUUUGUUAAGAUUUAUUUAUUUGUUUGUUUGCAAGUCAGUUACACAGAGAAUGAGAUGCUGAGAGAGUCUUCCAUCUGCUGGUUCACUCCCCAGAUGGCUGCGAUGGCUGGAGCUGCACCAAUCCGAAGCCAGGAGCCAAGAGCCUCUUCCGAGUCUCCCAUGUGGGUGCAGGGGCCCAAGGACAUGGGCCAUCCUCUGCUCUUUCCCAGGCCACAGCAGAGAACUGGAUGACAAGUGGAGCAGCCGGGACUUGACUUGCGCUCAUAUGGGAUGCCAACACUGUGGGCAGCGGCUUUACCUGCUAUGCCACAACGCCGGCCCCGAGUCCCUCUAAUUUGCAUGGAGUUUCUUCUGCUGUUUUCUCCCUAACUCUUUCCUGAGACUGCGCUCUCUCCACUUUUUUUAAUAAACUAUCUUCUAGACUAAUCUUAAUCAAAUCCCUGCUCUAAUUCUCAUCCAGCUCCCUGCCUAUGCACCUGGGAAAGCAGCAAAGAAUAGCCCAGAUACUUGGACCCCUUCACCCACAUGGGAGACCAGGACAAAGUUUCUGGCUCCUGUCUUUGGUUUGGCCUGUCCAUGGUCAUUUAUGCAUGUCCACAUAAUUUAUGAAGUGAACCAAUGGAUAGAAGAUAUCUCUCUGUGACUCUCCUUCUCUCUAUAAGACUGCCUCUCAAAGAAAUAAAUGUUUUAAAAUGUAAUGUAUAUGAGCAAAAUUGACAUUUUGACAUUUGAUUAUUGUACAGCCAUUGUCUCUACUGUUGAGUAACCGUUCUCUUUUUUUCUACUUACUAUUUCUUGAAUUAUUUACUUAGUGGAGGGUUAAGCUUACGAUUAUAAAAUAAACUGAAAGUAUGUAAUUGUAAAAAUUGAAAGGAAGGAGGAGAGAGGAUGGGCAGGAGGGUGGGUAGGGUAGGAAGUAUUACUAUCUCCUAAAUCUGUAUAUAUGAAACCCAUGAAAUUUGUUCACUUUAUAUAAAUAACAACAUUUUUAAAUAUUAUUGAUACUAUAAUUCAAAUCUUAUUAAAGUAACAAACUAAUUUAGGCAGAAUCAACAGUCUAUGAAUAUUGAUUAUAUAUAUCCUGAAAACAAUAUACAUGUCAUAUAUAUAUAUAGUUUUGUUUAUUCCAAGUAGUUUUAUCUUUGUGUUUUUCAUAAUAAUUUGUUUUGUUUUUAAUACCAUCAAUUUCCAUAUGUCAAUUUUAUAACUAGCCACUCUUCUAAAUUAUUAUUUUUUCCUAGUUUUUCAUUAAUUUUCUUGGCUUUAUCAGGUGUAUAUUCAUCUCAUAAUGUAAAUAAUAAUAUAAACUCCUCUUCUAAUGUUUAUAUCUCUACUGUUUUCUUAUCUAAUUAGCUAGUAUAUUUAGAAUUAUAUUGAAUAUAAUUGUUUUUAUUUUGUGGGAUCCAUUAAUACUUUUACUACCUCUGGUAACACAUAACAUUAUAACUGUCUUGUGUUUUUCUGAUUUGCUUUUUUAAGAAAUAAUUCCUUUUAUUUUUAGAUUUAUUUUAUUAAUUUGAAAAGUAGAGUUACAGAGAGAGAGAGAGGAAGAGACAGCGAGAUCUUCUAUCUUCUGGUUCACUCCCCAGAUGACCAUAGCUGCCAGGGCUGGGCCAGGCUGAAUCCAGGAUCCAGGAGCUUUUCCAGGUCUCCCAUAUGGAUGCAGGGACCCAAGUUCUUGGGCCAUUUUCUACUGUUUCUCUAGGUGCAUCAGCAGGGAGCUGGAUUGGAGGUAGAGCAGGCAGGUCUGAAACCAGUGCCCUAAUUGGAUACCAGCAUUGCAGGUGGAGGCUUAACCUGUUACACCACAGCGCUGACCCUAACAUAACUUUCAUAGCUCCAAGAAAAGAAAAAAGUAGUUUUUACAAAAUGUAAUAUUCUUAGAAAGUGAAAUAAAACCAUAUAACUGAAUUCCUAGAGUUACGUGAAUUAAAUGACCAAAAAAAAUCCCUCUUUUUUCUGUGGCUACUUUAUGAUUUACUGUUUAUCUAUGGUCUUCAAUAGUUUGACAUGAUGUCCUUAGAUGUAAUUUUCUUUUGAUAUUUUCUGCUUCAGAUUCGCUCAGUUUCUUGGAUCUGUGAGGGUUUUUGGUUUAUUUGUUUUGUUUUGUAUUCAUUUUGUUUUUACCAAACAUCUGAGAGUUUGGCUUUUACUUUUUCAGAUAUUUCUCAUGCCUCAUUUUCUUUCUCUUCUCCUUCUACGAUGUCCAAUACAAACAGGAUUGAUUAGUCAGUUUUGUUAUUGUUAUAUGGAUAUGUGAGUUCCUGAAAUCCCUUUUUCCCUUAAUAUUUUUCUCACUGUUCUUUAGUGAUUUCUAUUUAUCUAUCCUCAAUUCAUUGGUUGGUUUCUCUACCAUCUCCACUAUGUUGUUAAUCUCAUCCAGUUAAUUUUUCAUUGUGAAAAAUUUGUCUUUUUCAGUUCUAUAAUCUGAUUUCACUUCUUUUGAAAAAAAUUUGAUAAAAUAUAUGUAACAUUAUAUUUUCCAUUAUUAUCUAUUUUUUUAAAGAUUUAUUUUUAAUUUAUUUGAAAGUCAGAGUUACACAGAGAGAGAAGGGGAGGCAGAGAGAGAAGAGGUCUUCCAUCUGAUGGUUCACUCCCCAAUUGACUGCAGCAGCCAGAGCUGCACUCAUCCAAAGCCAGGAGCCAGGAGCAUCUUCUGGGUCUCUCAUGUGGGUGCAGGAGCCCAAGGACUUGGGCCAUCUUGUACUGCUUUCCCAGGCCAUAGCAGAGAACUGGAUGACAAGUGGAGCAGCUAGGACUUGAACUGGUGCCCACGUGGGAUGCUGGCACUGCAUGCAGCACUUUACCCCUACACCACAGUGCCAGCCCCCCAUUUUGAUUUUUAUGUAUACUUGAUCCUUUUUAUUGCUUCAUUUCCCUGCUGCAAUUCAGAUUUUAUAUUAAUUAUGAUUAUCUUUUCCUUUAGGUUCUUGAUAAUAGCUACGUUAAAAUACUUGUCUGAACCAUCUCAGAGUCUGUUCUUUUGACUGCUUUUUUCUAAGGACUUAGGUCAUAUUUUUCUUUGGGGUUAGAUUCUCUUUUCCAUUGAAGCUUUUUGACUUUUUCCUAACACUUAAAAACUGAUUGUUACCUUUAUCUAGUCAAGGCAUGGUUUUAUGUCGUCUUUGCAUUGGUCUGUUUUGCUUUUGACCUUAAUCCUGGGGUAAUUCCCAAAAUCCUAGUGAUAUAAUCUUUCUUCUAAAAUGUGACCUUCUAGUAUUUCUGUGGAAAUCCUGAAUUGCCUCAUGUAGUGAAUGCAGCAGAUCCCUGUCUCAGCUGGUUUUUGUUUUUUUUUUUUUGUUGUUGUUGUUGUUGUUGUUUUCACCAUUGGGUUCCUUGGAAACUUAACCAGGCAGAGGUCAGGUUAGGUGGGAGUUCAUAUGAAAAAUUUGUAGGUCUCCCUCUGUUUUUCCCUUUCCGGAACCCCUUCCUCUACCUUCAAUUUUCAGCUAUUCUCUCAACCCUGAAUUCUGGCCUCUGAUACCUCCAUUCAAUAAUGCUGUGGUUUUCUGCUGAAAUUCUACCUGUUCUCAAAACUUUGGACCUCAGAGAAAAGCCAUAUAAAAAUAAAUCUUUGCUGGGCGAUAUUCUCUUCUUUCAAAGGUCAAAUCCUCUCUCAUCCUGUUUUAGCUCAUGUAUGUUUGUACAAGUGACUUUUGAUCACUCUUCAGUAUGUCUUCAAAUAGUUGUUUUUGUUUGUUUCACUAUUUUUCCAUAGUUUAUAAUUGUUAUCGCUGAGUGACUGUGAUUCAAAUCACUCCACUUUUAACCAGAAUUGGAACUCCUAGCUCUUUCUAUAAAAAUAAAUAAAUAAAUAAAAUUGCCAGUUAAACUCAUUAUUCACACUCAUGUGACCACUUAGACCUAGAUUUGUUCCUGACUCUAUUUAUUAGUGUGAUACUUCAAAUUUCUGAUCAUCACUGUCCCCGUAUGUAAAGUAGAAGUGGUCAUUUCUACUUCAAAGAACUGCUUUUAGAUAUUAAAUGUAAAAAUACCUGUAAAUCAUGUGGCACUUUAAUAACAUAGUUCUUUUAAAACAUCAGAAGGGCAAAUAUUACUCUGUGGAGUGUUACUACUGGGUACCAGCAGUAUAAGUUAUUUUUGUGUUACCCAGAGGUCCCAGUUUCAGUAUUAUCCCAAUACAUUGUGAUAAUAUUUCACAGGAGGAGCAGCCAAACAAGGGUCAGUCAUAGCAUACUCAGUGAUACAGGAAAUGUUGCUGUCUCUUCUGGGUACAUUUAAAACCAGCAAACUGGUGAUCAGAAAAUACUUCUGUAGCUUUUUUUGUUUCUCUGCAUAAGAAGACUGAGUCUAAAGAAUUGUCAGAUUUUAAAGCCAUGUGGAGGGGCCUGUGCUGUGGUGCAGUGGGUUAAUGCCCUGACCUGAGGCACCAGCAUCCCAAAAGGGCUCCAUUUCAAAUCCCAGCUGCUCCACUUCCAAUCCAGCUCUCUGCUAUGGCCUGGGAUAGCAGUAGUGAAGUAGGCAGGCAUAUAGGUUAAAAUUGAUUAGGUUUGUGAGCUGGAGGACCACAUCUUCACCACGCCCCUGUGUGACCUCAUCCCCCUACCUGGCCACACCUGGGUGCCCACCAGCCAAUCAGGUUAAUUAACCACUCCCCUUGGAAGUGAGUUAAAAGCCUGGGACACAGUGUGUCCGGCCCAGCUCUUCUUCCCUGGCCUCUUGCCAGGAUGGGGGCUUGCUGUAGCCCUGUGCCUCCAGGGCACGUGGCCUUCGGGCCACUUCCUCUAGGCUUCCUGGCCUAAAUGCUCCUCCACGUGGCUGGCUGGUUCCUGGUGCUCGGUAUGAACCCAGAUUUACCUCUCUCUCUUAAUAAAGCUCUCACUCUCCCAUGCAUCUUUCGCACUAAAUAAAACUUAAAACGUACCAUGCUGCCUCAUUUAUCUGUGCCGGUAUUUAGAAUUCUUCUCUAAAUAUUAGGCAGGAACCCUCUUGGGCUUACUAAUAUUGGGGAUUUAUUAGUAAGCAUAUGGUGAAAUUGUAUGGUACCCCAAAUUCCGGUAGCAUUUGUUUAUGUGGUCGGUAUAGAGUGUAAUAAAACAUACACCACUAUUUAAUGACUAUUCUAUCAUCAGAGAUUCCUUACAACUCAAAAAUGAAUGAUUUGUACCCUGGGUAAACAUGCAGUUUCUGAAAUUGGUUAUUGAAUGGGUUUUUCUAUGAAUAGUUAACAUUAGUGUCCAGACUGUCUGCUAGAAUUAUGUUAUGAAUGUGUGCUUAUAUGUUGUUUUCUUAUAAUUUAAGAAAUACAUAGGAUAUGUGUGUGAUUUUUCAGAUACAAUUUGCAAUAGUGGAAGCAAUAUAAUGCUGAAGAUAAAAGGGGAACUAGCUGAGGUUGCAUUACUCUCCCCCCCUUCCUGCUUUCUCUCUCCCUCUCUACAUCCCUCCCCUUCCCACUCCCCCCCCCCCCCCGGUCUGGUAAGCAUUAUUACAGUUGCUUUUCACAUUUAUGCCUGUUCAAAUAACAAUCCAUCAAUCAUGUAAACUUAGCCCCAGAUUCUGAUCUCUAAUACAUAGCAUGAAAUACAUGUAUUUCUUUGCCACCACCCCCCCCAAAAUGCUCAAGUAACAUCUGAGAUUAAAAUCUAUCCUUUCAAAUUGAUUUUAUUUUUAUCUAAGUAAGAAGCAAACUGCAGUGUCAGAUGAAGAAAUAAAAUAUUUCAUGUCAGGAUGUGGUUUCCUUUUUAAUAUAUAAAAUACUUACAGAAUCAAGUCUGCCUGUAUUUCUUUAAUCAUAAUAAUGGCUUUGAAAGAAAGUAGAAACAUUGUUAUUUAUGCUUUUUACAAUGGAAUCUUUUAUCCUGGAGCAAUCAUAUACACUAAUACGUUUUGUAGUAGAAGGCCAUGUUAUAAAAAGAACAUUACCUAAGGUUAUAAUAUCUGAAAAGCAAAUGAAGACUAUUUAACAUAGAAGGUGAAAUUCAUCAGAAUAUGUUUUAUAUAUGUUUCCAAGGAAAUUAACAAUUUUUAUAACAACUAUAAAAUAAAAACUUAUCAGUAAAAUAAAAAUAUUUAAAAUAAUAAAGCUGUCUUGUAUUGCUAUUUAUGUUACUUUUUAAAAUUAUGGGAUAACUGAUAAAUGAUUUGAAGAUAUAAUUUUUAUUUUAAUUUUCUCUCAGUCACAGAAAAUUCAUUCAAUUUAUGCACAUUUUUCUUUGUUUUUAAGCAGUGUUCAUUAACAUUUGUGAGCAAAACACUAAGCUAGUCAGUUUAGGAGAUUAAAAAAUACAUCUGUAUCAUUCUUCCUCAAAAAAGAGUGUGGUUUAGUACAACAAACAAAAUUAUACACAUCACACAGAGGUACAUAUAGAUAGAAAAUCACUAGUUACUAACAAUAAGACUGCAGAGAAGACUUGGUAUGUGCCACUUUUUAAUUGUAUUUCAGAAUCACAAGUUGUUUUUAUGCAAGAAUAGUAUAGUGCCUGGAGCAUAACAGGAGUUCAAUAUGUUGAAAGAAUAGGUGAAUAUUCUCUCACGCCUGGGUUAAAGAGCUAGUUAGCUGUAGUGUGAGUUGUAUAUGUAUAUUAACUAUUUCUGCAGGUAACCAAUUAUUUUAGAAUAAGAAUGAUUUUUAUCUGAGUUCUAACAUCUUUGUGACUUUGGGCAAAUUAUUUCUUUAAACUCCAGUUUCUUUAUCUGUAAAACAUGAUAAUCCCUAUAAGUUUGCUCUUAAGAAUAAAUGACAUAAUGUAUAUAAAGCCGAUAUUACGGUGGCUAUCAUAGGUUAGGUUAGAAAAAUUGUUACAGUUACUAUUACUACUCCUUUUUUUAUUGAUAAGAGAUGGAUGAAAGUACCUCACUAUGAAACACUAAUAAUUAAACUGUAUCACUGACUUUACAUGUGCAGAAGUAGAAUAAUUUUUAUUCCAGAUAAGUACCACUUCAUUCAGUCUACAAUUACUUGAUUUUUUUACCUAAAGAAAAAUAUGUUUUGAGUUAUAAAUUAAUUACUUAACUUUGUACUUGAUAAUUUUGUGUCUGUACCCUGAAAACUCAGAUGAGAACUUGGGAAUUAUUAUUUACUCUUUUAUUCAUUUAUUUAUUCAUUGAACAAAUAGUUACUCACAUUGUGGUAGGCACUGGUGCGACAGUGAUGAGUAGACAAUUUGCAAGUCUAGCCUGUCACAGAUUGUUCAUUAUAGGUAGUUGUAUCCUAAAUACAGUUCUUAAGAUAUAGGGACUAAAACAAGGCUUUCUUGAUAUAGGGACUAAAACAAGGCUUUCUUGAUCUGACCCCAUGAAUCAACCAGAUCAGUCAUAAGGUUUGAAAAGUUACAAAGCCCACAUUCCUGUAAGUUGUAUAAAGGAGACUUCAAAAUGUUCAUGGAAAAAAUGGAAUUUAAAAAAUAACUUAUUUUGGCACCCAAAAAAUUGGAAAUCUGUGUAUAUUUUUUCAUAAUAAGCAUUUUCAUAAACCCCCACAUAUGUAAUUAUCUGUUCUCCUCUGUCAUCUUAAAGAAAAGAUAAGCUUUGGAACAUGCUUUACAAAACUAUGAGAACCUAGAUAUAAAGAAAGAAUUAAGGUCAGGAUGUAAAUGAUCACAACUAAAUGUAAAUGAUUUUCAGUAUUCUACUAUAAGUGCACUUGUACCUACGCUCACAACUAUAUUCUUUUUUUAAAAAAGGACUUACUUAUUUAUUUGAAAGUCAGAGUUAUACAGAGAGAGAAGGAUAGGUAGAGGGAGGGAGGGAGAAAGAUACUGCAUCCACUGGUUCACUCCCCAAUUGAUCACAACAGCCGAAACUACACAGAUCCAAAGCCAGGAGCCUGGAGCUUCUUCUGGGUUUCCCAUGCAUGUGCAGGGGCCCAAGGACUUGGGCCAUCUUCUACUGCAUUCCCAGGCCAUAACAGAGAGUUGGAUAGGAAGUGGAGUAGCCGGGGUCUUGAACAGGCAUCCAUAUGGGAUGCCAGCACUGCAGGUGGCGGUUUAACCUGCUACAGCACAGUGCCGGCCCCUCAACUAUAUUCUGAUUGAAACUUUUUGACUGUCUUCUCCACUAUUAAUUACCUUAUUACUAAUUGUAGUGAAAGAAAUUUAUUGGUGAAAACAUUGUUAUAAACCUUAAAAGUCUAUGGUCCUGUUUUUCUCUUUUUUCCUGUUCACUGAUUGAUUACAUGACACAUUAAUUGACACAUAAUAAUUAUACAUAAUUAUAGAGUUCAGUGUGAUUUAAUAAAGAGUACAAAGUGUGAUUAUCAAAUCUGGGUAAUAAGCAUACCCAUCGCCUAAAAGAUUUAUCAUUUCUCUGCUGGCUCCUCUGAAAUACACAGUGUAUGAUUAUUCACUGUAGUCACCCUAGUGCCCAGCAGAGCACUGGAAUUUAUUCCUCCUUAGUAACUGUCAUUUUGUAUCUAUUUGUACUUUUACCCCCACCCAGCCUCCUCAGCCUCUGAUAACCACUGUUCGAUUCUUGACUUCUGUGAGACAAACAUUUUUUACAUUCCACAUAUGAGUGAGAAGAUGUAGUAUGCUUCUUAAAAUAAUUCCUUCUGGAUUCAUCUGUGUUGUCUCAGAGGACAGGAACCCAUCUGUUUUAUGGCUGAAUAGUAUUCCAUUGUGUACAGGAUUCCAGAAAUUUUCAUGGAAGAUGUAUAUUAUGAAAAAACUAAGAAUGGAUUUCAAAAAAAAACUAUACAACAAAAUAAACUUAACUUAAACUGCACCUUCUAUUUUUCCAUGAUUUCAUGAUUCUAUACAGAUUCCAUUUCCUUUACUCAGGAACUUCUGUAGUAUAUUCUGUAAUGGCUAUUGAUUUACAUUCUGACCAGCAGUACAUAAAUGUUCCUUUUUCUCCACAUAUUCACUAGUACUUGUUAUUUCUUGGGUUUUUUUAAUUACCAUUUUGACAGGUGUGAGGUGAGAUCUUAUUGUUGUUUUGAUUUGCACUUUCCUGAUGAUUAGUAGUGUUGAGCAUUCUUCCGUAUACCUGUUGGCUAUUUGUAUGUCUUCUUUUGAGAAGUGUCUAUUAUUUUAUGUUAUUUGCCCAUAUUUUAAUCAUAUUGUUUGCUUGAAUUCCUUGUAUAUUCUGAGUUUAACCACUUGCCAGAUGUAUAGUUUAUGAAUAUUUUCUGACGUUCUAUAGGUUGUCUCUUCACUGUUGAUUAUUUCCUCUGCUGUGCAAAAGCUUUUCAGUUGAUGUCAUUUUAUUUGCCUAUUUUUGCUUGUUGUAUGUGCCCUUGAGUUAUUCUCAAGAAACAAAUUAAAAAGACAGCUUGGGGGCCAGCGCUGUGGCACAGCAGGUUAAUGCCCUAGCCUGAAGCGCUGGCAUCCCCUAUGAGCGCCGGUUCGAGUCGCUCCAUUUCCCAUCCACCUCUCUGCUAUUGCCUGGAAAAGCAGUAGAAGACGGCCCAAGUCCUUGGGCCCCUGCACCUGCAUGGGAGACCGGGAACAAGCUCCUGGCUCCUGGCUUCGGAUUGGCUCAGCUCCAGCUGUUGCGGCCAAUUGGGGAGUGAACCAUUGGAUGGAAGACCUCUCUCUCUGCCUCUCCUCUUUCUGUGUAACUCUGACUUUCAAAUAAAUAAAUAAAUCUAAAAAAAAAAAAAAAAAAGACAGCUUGGACCACAAGUAGGUUCUGUGGCAUAGAUAGCAGGUUUAGCUGCCAAUUGGGAUACCCAGAUUCACUAUUGCAAUGCCUGGGAUCAAGUGCUGCCUCUGCUUCUGAUCCAGCUUUCUGUUAAUGCAUUUUCUGGGAGGCAGCAGAUGAUGAUGAUUCCAAUAUUUAAGUCUCUACCACCCAUGUGGGAAACUUGGAUUGAGUUCCAAGCUCUGCUCUCAAUGGCUAUUGGGGGGAUUUAGGGGCUGAACCAGUGUAGUAGAGAAGAUUCAUUCUCUCUCUCUCUCUCUCUCUCUCUCUCUCUCUCUCUCUCUCUCUCUCUUUCUCUCUCUCUCUCUCUCUUUCUCCCACCCUCACUCCCUCUCUCUCUCCCUUUCCUUUCCUCCCUCCCUCCCUCCCCUCUCAUUCUGCCUCAAAUAUAAAUAUUUUUUUAAAUGCUCUACUCAAUCCAAUGUCAUUAAACAUUUCCCCCUGUGUUUACUGUAGCAGUUUCAUAGGUUGGGUUAUUAGAUUUAAAUGUUUAAUCUAUUCGAUUCAAAUUUUUAAAAAGAUUUAUUUAUUUGAAGGCAGAGUUACAGAGAGAUAGAGAGAGGAAGAAAGAGAAAUCUUUAAUCUGCUAGUUCAUUCCCCAAAUGAUCACAACAGCCAGGGCUGGGCCAGGCCAAAGCCAGGAGUCUGGAACUCCAUCCAGAUCUCCCAGGGCUCAAACCAGAAUUCUGAUUUGGGAUUCUGACCUCGCAAGGAACAGCUUUAACCCACAGCACCAUAAUGCUGACCUUCAAUUUUUUGUUAUUAUUAUUAACAAUAUGUUGUUAUAUUAAUAAUGUGGGAAGAGAUAAGCACCUAGUUAAUUUUCUUCUUCUGGAUAUGGAUCUGAUUUUCCAAGCACCAUUUGUUGAAGAGAUUGUCUAUUCCUGCAUGGACUCUUGUGUGGACUUUUUACACUAGUACCAGGCUCUUUUGCUUACUGUAACUGUAGAAUAUGUUGAGGUCAGGCUUUUUCUUUUUCUUUUUUUAAGCUCAAGAUAGUUGUGGCUAAUACAGUUCUUUUGUCAUUCCAUAUGAAUUUUAGGGUUAUGUUUUUGUAGUUCCAUGAAGAAUGCUGUUAUUAUUUUGAUAGGAAUUGCAUAAAUCUAAAGAUUGCCUUGGAUAGUAUUGACAUUUUAACAAUAUUAAAUCUUCUAAAUCAUGAAUGUGGAAUACUUUCCAUUUACUUGUAUCUUCAAUAUUCUACCAAUGUUUUAUGGUUUACAAUAUAGAGAAAUUUUUAUGUAGAUUGUUUGUAUCUAAGUAACAAAAUUUUGUGGCUAUUAAAAAUGAGAUAUUUUUCUUUUUUUGACAGGCAGAGUGGACAGUGAGAGAGAGAGACAGAGAGAAAGGUCUUCCUCUGCCAUUGGUUCACCCUCCAAUGGCCGCCACGGCCAGUGCGCGGCCCAAGCACUUGGGCCAGUGCAGGGCCCAAGCACUUGGGCCAUCCUCCACUGCACUCCCUGGCCACAGCAGAGAGCUGGCCUGGAAGAGGGGCAACUGGGACAGAAUCCAGCGCCCCAACCGGGACUAGAACCCGGUGUGCCAGCGCUGCAAGGCGGAGGAUUAGCCUAGUGAGCCGCGGCACCGGCCGGAGAUAUUUUUCUGAGAAUUUACUAUUAGCAUACGGAAAUGAUAUUGAUUUUUACAUGUUGAUUUUGUUUCUUGCAAGUUUGCAGAAUUUGUUUAUUCUAACUUUUAUGGGUGAAGUUUUUAAAGUUUUCUAACAAAGCUUGACUUCCUCCUUUCCAAUUUGAAAGCCUUUCACCUCUUUUUACUGCCUAGAGGCUAUGGCUAAAGUUUCUACUACUAUGUUGAAUAGUAAUAGAGUGAGCAUUCUUGUCUUAAUCCAGAUCUUAGAGGAAAAAUUUUCAUUUUUAGUUCUGUGUUUGUCAUAUAUGGUCAUUAUUGUGUUAAGAUAUGUAUCUUCUAUACCUGAUUUCACUGAGAGUUGUUAACAUGAAUGGAUGUUGAAUUUUGUCAGAUGCUUUUUUUUACAUUCAUUGAAUUGAUAUAAUUUUUCUCAUUUCAGCUAAUGUAUCGUAUUUAUUGGUUUGUGUGUGUUAAAACAUCCUUGCAUCCUUUGGAUGAAUCACACUUGAUCAUAAGAAAUGAUCUGUUCAGUACACUGUUGAAUUAGGAUUGAUAGUAUUUUGUUAAGAAAUUUUGCAUCUAUGUUUACCAGAUAUCGUGACAUCUACAGUUUUCUUUCUGUGUUAUGCCUGGUUUUGAUAUCAGAGUAAUUCUGGCAUCAUGGAAUGAGUUUUAAAUUGUUUCUUCUUCUACACACUGUUGUUUGUUUGUUUUAGGAGGGGAUAGGGAAUAGUUUGAGUAGAAUUGAUAAUAUUUCCUUUAAAUGUGUGAUAAAAUUCGGAGGUGAAGCUGUCAGCUCAUUUACUUUUCUUUGAUAGAAGGCUUUUUAUCACUGAUUCCACUUGCUCACUCAUUAUUGGUCUGUUCAUAUUUUCUGUUCAUAAUCCCAUAUCAUUAGAUUAUCUGUGUCCAAGAAUUUACCCAUUUCUCCUGUUUCCCAGUAUGUGGUCAUGCAAUUAUGCUUAAUAGUUUCUCAUGAUCCUUUGUAUUUCUGAGAUAUCUGUUGUAUCUCAUUUGGCAUCUCUGACUUUUUUGAGCCAUCUCUAGUUUUCUUUUAAAGUUUCCAAUAAACGAACUCUUUAUUUCAUUGCUAUUUUAUAUUGUUUUUCUAUUCUCUAUUUUAUUUAUUUCUGAUCUCAUUUUUUUUUCUCCAUCUAAUUGAAUGAGCAACAAUGAGAGAGAGAAAUCUUCUGUCCACUGGUUCACUUCCCAAAUACCCACAAAAUUGGAGCAGGGUCAGGCUGAAGCCAGUAGCCCAGAACUCCAGGCCUAUCUCCCAAAUGGGUGGCAGGAGCCCAAGAGCUUGAGCCAUCAUUUGCUGCCUCCCAGAGUACAUUAUCAGGAAGUUGCAUCUGAAGCAGAAGGGCCGGGACUCAAACCCAGCACUCCAGUAUGAGAUGUGGGUGUCCCAGCUUGCAGUUUAACCAACCUCUCCACAAUGCCCACUCCUCUGCUGUGAUCUUUAUUAUUUCCUUCCUUUCAUUAAUUUGGGGCUUCCUUUGUUCUUCUUUUUUCUAGUUCCCUCAGUUGCAGUGUUGGGUUGUUUAUGUGAGAUGUUUCUGCUCAAUAUGUAGUCAUUUAUUACUAUAAACUUCUCUUUUAUAACUCCUUUUAGUGUAUCAUGUAAGUUUUGGUAACUUGUAUUUCCAUUUCCAUUUUCAAUCCAUUGACCCCUUGUUUAUUCAGGAAACUGUUGUUUAAUUUCCCAUGUAUUUGUAAAGCUUCUAAAGUUUCUAUAAUUUUUGAACUCAAGUUAUACACUUCUGUGGUCAGAAAAAAAUAUUUGAUAAGAUCUCUGGUUCCUCUUCCAGUCCAGCUCUCUGCUGUGGCCUGGGAAGGCAGUGGAGGAUGGUCCAAGUGCUUGGGCCCUGCACCCCAUGGGAGACCAGGAGGAAUCACCUGGCUCCUGGCUUCAGGUCGGCACAGCACGCCGGCCGUAGCAGCCAUUUGGGGAAGUGAACCAACAGAAGGAAGACCUUUCUCUCUGUCUCUCUCUCUCACUGUCUAACUCUACCUGUCCAAAAAAAAAAAAAAAAAAUCUCUGUCUUCUUAAUAUUUUUCAGGCUUGUUUUGUGGCCUAACACAUGAUUGCUCCCAAAGAAUUGCCCAUGUACAGUUGAGAGGAAUGUAUAUUCUCAAGUGCUUGGAUGUAAUGUUCUCAGAGAUACCUAUUUUUUUUAUUAAUUUUGUUCAAGGUAUACAAAUUUUAUGUAUUGCAAAUAUACAGAUUUAGGAACAUAACACUAUUUCUCACCCUAUCCUCUAUCCCACCCAUGCUCUUACCCUCUUCUUCUACCCUCUCCUAUUUUUACAAAGAUCUGUUUUCAUUUUACUUUAUAUGCAUAAGAUUAACCAUACACUAAGUAAAGGGUCCAACAAAUAGUAUGAGAAAAAUCACUGUUCCUCAACAAUACAGACAAGGACUAUAAACAAUCAUUGAUUCUCAAAAUGUCAAUUUGAAUUCAGUACAUUACAUUGUAGGUACUCUAUUGGUAACCACAGAUCAGGCAAAACAUAUGAUAUCUGUCUUUUGGGGACUAGCUUAUUUUCACCAAGUUAAUAGUUUCCAGUUGCAUCCAUUUUGUUGCAAAACAGGAUUUCUUUUUUUCUUUUCUUAACCACUGAGAACUAUUCCAUAGUGUAUAUAUAGCAUAAUUUCUUUAUCCAGUCAUCCGUUGAUGGACAUCUGAGUUGAUUCCCUAUCUUAGCUACUAUGAAUUCAGCUGCAGUUAACAUGGGGGUACAGAUAAAUCCUUCAACUGCUGAUUUCAUUUUGUUUGGGUAAAUUUUAGGAGUGGGAUUGCUGGGUCAUAUCAUAGAUCUAUUUUCAGAUUUCUGAGUUAUCUCCAUACUGUCUUCUACAGUAGCUAUGCCAAUGUAGUUUUCAGCAGUGUGUUUAGGAUACUUUUUCCCCAUAUCCUUACCAUCAUUUGUUUGCUGAUUUGUAUGAGAGCCAUUCUGACUUGAGUGAGGUGAAAACUCACUUUGGUUUUGAUUCGCGUUUCCCUGAUGGCUAGUGAUCCUGAGUAUUUUUUCAAGUGUCUGUUGGCCAUUUGAAUUUCCUAUUUUGAAGACUGCCUAUUCAUGUCCCUUUCCCAUUUCAAAACUGAAUUGUUUUAUUGUUGUAGAGUUUCUUGAGCUCUUUAUAGAUCCUAGAUAUUAAUCCUUUAUUUGUUGCAUAGUGUGCAAAUAUUUUCUACCAUUCUGUUGAUGGCCUCUUUGCUUUGCUGAAUGUUUGCCUUGCUGAAUGUUUUCUUUGCAGUUCAGAAGCUUCUCAGCUUGAUUUUAUCCCAUGUAUCAAUUUUGCUUGGAUUGGUUGUGUUUCUGGGGUUUGUUUCAACAAGUCUUUGCCUCUGCCAAUGUAUUUCAGAGCUCCUCCCAAUGUUCUCUAGUAACUUGAUGGUAUCAGAUCAUGGAUUUAAGGCUUUGAUCCAUUUUGAGUGGAUUUUUGUGUCAGGUGGAAGGUAGUGCUCUUGUUUCAUACUUCUGCAUGGGGAGAUAUAAUUUUCCCAGCCCUGUUUGGUGAAGAGAUUGUCCUUGCUCCAGCAAUUGAUUUUAGCUCCUUUGUUAAAGACAAGUUGGUUGUAGAUGCAUGGAUUGAUUCUGAAGUUUAUAUUCUGUUCCAUUAGUGUAUGUGUCUGGUUUUUUUGUUUCAUUUUGUUUUCUUUCCUUUUUUUUCUUUUCUUCCAGUACCAGGCUGUUUUGAUUAUACCUGCCCUGUAUUAUAUCUUGAAAUCAGAUAUUGUGAUGCCACCAGCUUUGUUUUGGUUGUAUAAGAUUACUUUAGCUAUUUUGGGUCUCUUGUAUUUCCAUAUGAAUUUUAAAAUCAUUUUUUCUGUGUCUGAGAAGAACGUUUUUGUUAUUUUGAUUGGGAGUGCAUGUUUCCAGUUGUAUUUACAUUUUCAUGACAUUGAUUCUUCGAAUUUAUGAACAUGGAAGACUUCCAUUUUUUGUGUGUCUUCUAUUUAUUUCAUUAAUGUUUUAUAAUUUUCAUCAUAUAGAUCUUUCACCUCCUAGAUUAACUGUAUUCCACAAUUUUUAAAAUUUUUUGUAGCUACUAUGAAUGGGAAUGAUUUUGGAAGCUCCUUCUCAGCCAAGGCAUUGUCUGUGUAUACAAAGACUAUUGAUUUUUGUGUGUUGAUUUUAUAUCCUGCCACUUUACCAAACUCUUUCACGAGUUCCAGUAGUUUCUCAGUGGGGUCUUUUGGAUUUCCUAUAUAUAGAAUCAUGUCAUCUGCAAAUACAGAUAGUCUGAUUUUCUCCUUUCUAAUUUGUAUCCCUUUGAUUUUUUUUUUCACGCCUAAAGGCUCCAGCUAAAACUUCCAGGACUAUAUGAAUAGCAAUGGUGAGAGUGGGCAUCCUUGUCUGGUUCCAGAUCUUAGUGUGAAUGCUUCUAAUUUUUCCCAAUUCAAUUAGAUGCUGACUGUGGGUUUAUUAUAAAUUGCCUUGAAUGUGUUGAGGAAUGUUCCAUCUAAACCCAGUUUGGUUAAGGUUUUUCAUCAUGAAAAAAUUUUGUGUUUUAUCAAAUGUUUCUCUACAGCUAUUGAGAUGAUCAUAACAAUUUUUAUUCUUAUGUUUGUUAAUGUGAUGUAUCACAUAAAUGAUUUGUGAUUAUUAAACUAUCCCUGCAUACCAGUUAUAUUUCCCACUAAGUUUGGGUAAAUGGUCUUUAUGGUAUGUUGUUAAAUUUGAUUAGCUAGUAUUUUGUUGAAUUUUUGCAUCCAUGUUCAUCAAGGAUAUUAGUCUUUAGUUCUCUUUCUGUGUUGUUUCUUUUUCUGCUUUAGGAAUUAAGGUGAUGCUGACCUCAUAGAAGUAAUUUGGUAGGAUUCCCUCCCUUUCAUUUGUUUUGAAUAGUUUGAAAAGGAUUGGAAUUAAUUCUUCCUUAUAUAUCUGGUAGAAUUCAACAGUAAAACCGUCUGGUCCUGGGCUUUUGUUUGUUGGGAGGGUCUUUAUUACUGAUUCAAUGUGUGUUUUGGUUAUUGGUCUGUUUAGAUGUUCUAUGUCUUCAUGAAUCAAUUUUGAUAGAUGGUAUGUGUCCAGGAAUAUCUGUGUAUAUCAUAGAUUUUUCAGUUUGUUGGCAUAUAGCUCUUUGUAGUAAUUCCUUGGUGAUUCCUUUUAUUUCUGUGUUACCUGUUGUUACAUUUCCUUUUUCAUCACAGAUCUCGUUGAUUUGGGUCUUCUCCCUUUUUUUUUUUUUUGGUUGGUUGGGCCAACAAUAUAUUAAUUUUCUUUAUUUUCUUCAAAUAACCAACUCUUUGUUUCACUGAUCUUUUAUAAUGUUUUUGUUUGUUUCAAUUUUAUUUCUUCUCUGAUUUUAAUUAUUUCUUUCCUCUUAUUAAUUUGGAAUUUGGUUUGUUGGUUUGUUGUUUUUCUAGGUCCAUGAGAUGCAUUGAUAGCUCAUCUAUAUGAUGCCUUUCCAAUUUCUUCAUGUAGACACCAACUGCUACAAACUUCCCUCUUAACACUGUCUUUGCUAUAUUCUGCAAGUUUUGAUAUGUUGUAUUAUGUUCAUUCAUUUCCAGAAAAAAUUUUUUUUAUUUCUCUUGAUUUCUUCCAUGAUCCAGUGUUCUUUCAGGAACAUAUUAUACAGUCUCCACUUGUUUGCAUAAGUUCUAGAGAUUCUCGAAUUGUUGAUUUCCAGCUUCAUUCCAUUGUGGUCAGAAAAGAUGCAUGGUAUGUUUUCAACUUUUUUGAAUUUCCUGAGACUUACUUUAAGGCCUAGCAUAUGAUCUGUCCUAGAGAAAGUUGCAUCCACUGAUGAAAGGAAUGUUUAUUCUGCAACUGUGGGAUGAAAGUUUCUAUAGAUAUGUUAGGUCCAUUUGGUCUGUAGUGUAGAUUACUCUAUUGUUUCUUUGUUGAAUCUCUGUCUGAUUGAUCUGUCCAUUGAUGAAAGUGUAGUGUUGGAGUCCCCCAUUACUAUUGUAUCCAAAUUUGUAUCUCCCUUUGAAUCCAUUAACAGUUGCUUUAGAAUAGCAAGACCCCUUGGCAUUUGGGUACAUAUACAUUUAUUAUAGUCACAUCUUCCUGUUGAAUUGAUUCCUUGAUCAUAACAUAAUGGCCUUUGUCUCCUUUAACAGCUUUUCUGUAAAGUCUAUUUUAUCUGAUAUUAGGAUGGCUACACCUGCUCAAUUCUGCUUUCCAUAAACAUGGAAUAUCUUUCCAUCCUUAUAGUUUCAGCUGGUGUGUAUCUUUGUUGUGAGGUGUUUUUCAUGGAGACAGCAAAUAUAUGAGCCUUGUUUUUUAAUCCAUUCAUUAGCCUGUAUAUUUUAACUGGAUAAUUUAAUUAGAGAAUUGGAGAGUUGAAACCAUUUACAUUCAAGGUUACUAUUGAUGUAACAACUUGCCCCUUCCAUUUCUUGGUAAAUAUUGUUUGCUUUGGAUUUCCUUUUUACUUUUAUUGGAAGAUUUUCCUCCUUUACAGUCUUUCAUAAUGGUGACUGUCUUUCUGUGUUUCCUUGUGUAGCACAUCCUACUGCAUCAUUUGUAAGUCUGGAUGAGUGGUCACAAAUUCUUUCCAUUUCCAUUUGUUCUGAAAGGUCUUUCACCUUUAUGCAUAAAUGAGAGGUUUGCCAGGUACAGUAUUCUGGGUUGCUAGCCCCAGCCAAUACUGGUUUCAGAAUGGUGGCUUCUCCCCACUCAUUGCCAAUGUGGGCACCUGAGCUGCUGCAGCCACUAAGUGCGUCAAGAUGGUACCCUCUCACUGCCAGUUACCAGGCAUGGUUGUAGGAGGAUGGAGAGAGAGAAAUGUGCCCUUUUUUUUGCUGAGUUAGACAGAUACGCUGUCCCCCUUUGUGCUCCAGGCUGGACUCAGCCAGGUUCUCCCUCUCACUAUAUUGCCAGUGGCACAAGUUACUGCAAUCUGCUCUCACCUUUCUCUCCAAAACUGGCUCUUCCUCCAGCUCUCAGCUGUGGGGAUAGUGUGUUAUGUCUGCAUUCGUAGCUAUGAGUCUGCACUUUCCAAGCUGAUCCACACAUCCCUCUAUCUUCUGUAGAAUUUCCACUGCAAAUUUUUCUCCAACUCUCCCCUGGGAAUACCCUUCCUCCACUUUUUUGCUGCUCUUUUUACCUAGCCUAAAGCAGUAUAUCCUUCUGCUAUUUCACCAUCUUAAGGAUCUCUAGACAGAACUAUUUUUGAGAGAGAGCAAUAUCCAGUUUUGUUUCAAGUUUAAAUUCUACCUUAGAGAAUCUGGGCAUGUUAACGCCUCCUUUUUUGCUCAACUGUGAAGUGCAGAUUAUAAAAUUCUCCCAAUAGUUAUAUGAUUCAUAUUUCCAAAUGAGAAUGAAACUUUUAAAAUGUAAGAUUUAAUAUAGUUAUCAUUUUUAUUGAUGAGAAGAGAAAUAAUAAUUUAUUGUUAAUAGAGCAUUUUAAGUGUCCUAUACUUUACUUAGAUUACCAGUAGUUUUCACAUGAUAGAAAUUAUUAUUUCCUAAUUAUAUAGAAAGAGAAAUGUGCUCUCAAAAUCAUAAGUGACUUGCACAAAGACUUUCAAAUUAGUCAGUUGCAGAAACAGAAUUCAAGUUCAGGUUUUAGUGGAUCUUAAUCCAAUACUCAUUGUAACAUAUUACCUCUCUGAUGAAUGCUAAAACACAGCAGUGGAGUAAGAAUGCAGGCUCAAUCUUAGGUUCCAUUAAUGGCCUUCCCCAUUUUUCCCUUCUAGAUUUUUAUUCAUGUCUUAUAUGCACAUGUUAAAUAGUAUUGAGGGCCGGCGCCGCGGCUCACUAGGCUAAUCCUCCGCCUAGCGGCGCCGGCACACCGGGUUCUAGUCCCGGUCGGGGCACCGGAUUCUGUCCCGGUUGCCCCUCUUCCAGGCCAGCCCUCUGCUGUGGCCAGGGAGUGCAGUGGAGGAUGGCCCAGGUGCUUGGGCCCUGCACCCCAUGGGAGACCAGGAAAAGCACCUGGCUCCUGGCUCCUGCCAUCGGAUCAGUGCGAUGCGCCGGCCGCAGCGCGCCGGCCGCGGCGGCCAUUGGAGGGUGAACCAACGGCAAAGGAAGACCUUUCUCUCUGUCUCUCUCUCUCACUGUCCACUCUGCCUGUCAAAAAAAAAAAAUAAAUAAAUAAAUAAAUAAAUAAAUAGUAUUGAGUGUCCCCUCCCUUGGAAUGCAGUAGAGGUAACUACUUAUAAGUAUUCUCUCUUAUUUACCAAACUAUUUCUAAAUCAUGUAGUUUUUACUUCUAUCUCUAAGUUUACCUAAAUUCAACAUUAUUUAUAUGUAAAAAAUAUAGGAAAUUUUCUCUGUCAUAGAUGAUGACUUAGCUCACUUAUACCAACUCAUAUUUCUGGGUCAUCCCACUCUUUAAAUACAAAACAAAAACAAAUAUUUACUUUAUUGAUCCUAUAUAAAUACCAUUUACUGUAAAACCAAGUAGUAUAUUGUAUUUCCUUCCUUAUACAAAAUUUUUAUUGCCUAGAGUUUUCCUCCCAUUUCCCACUAUAAGUUCUUUAUAACAUGCAGAUAAAUUUUUCCAUAUAUUCCUUUUCCUGUUUCCAUCACUAUUCUUUGAAGCAUUGUUUGGUUUAAUUAAAUUUUUAUUCAGUUAAUGUCAUGAUUAAAUUUUAUAGCAAGUUUUCCUGUAGGACUGCAGUUCGUCUUUGCCAGUAAUGCCUUGUAAUCCUUUUUUAAAAAAGAUUUGUUUACUUGAAAAGCAGAACUCCAGAGAGAGGGAUCUUCCAUCCAGUGGUUCAUUCCCUGAGAUAGCUGUACCAUCUGCUCUCCCACCUGAGUGGCAAGGGCCCAAGUACAUGGGCCAUCUUCUGCUACUUCCCAUGGAGUAGAGACCCGUUAGCAGGGAGCUGAUUCACAAGUGAAGCUGGCUCCCUAAAUUGUAAUUCUUAAAAAACCUACACCUUUGUUUCCAAAAUCUCCCCUAAAAGUUACAUUUACAACUUCUUUGCAUAAAAUACACAAACUUUAAAACAGAGAUCUGCAUGCUUUUUCUCACAAUAAAUAACCCCCGUGGAAGGAGUAUUUUAUAUUAAUCAGUAAGGAUUUAAAAUAUAUUAUCAAUUUUUAGCUUAUAUUUUUAAAAAUGUGUAAUCACUACCUUUUUUGAUAAGUAGACAUUGAAAAUAUUAAAGAUAAUAGAUGUCGUUAAUUGUUCAUUUGAUCCCUCAAAAGAGAUAGUCUUUCCCCAUAUAUACAAAAUAGAAAAGAUAGUAGCCCAAGACCAGUUAGAAAAUUGAGUCCCUUACUUGAGUUUAACAGCUACUUGGAAUCCACAAUUGGGCUGUUGAAAUUGAAAGUUGGAUAGUAUGUCAAAACACUUUGUAAGUCUUCUAAAUAUGAGAGCAAACUGUUAACAAUAUCUUUUCCUAAGGGUUAUGUGGAAGUUGGAAAAGAGGACUGUGAUUUUUUUUUUUUUUACCUGUAUACUGCCUUAACAUUUCAAAUUAUUUUGAGCAUGUGUUUUUUGAAGCCAAGGUCGGAAAGGAAUAGAUACAUUUUAAAAGAAAUAAAGUAAAGAAUAAAGCUGAGGCGGAUAAAGGUAUUUUAAUUUUUAUGUAUUAUUAAAAUGGUGAGCUAGGUACCCCGAUAUCUCAGGGUAAAUAACUAAUAAAGAUGUGAAAGUUACAAAACUUGUGUUAGCAUGCAACUGUGAACUGAAAAGAUGGAGACUAUUACAAGGCUACAACAGAGAAAAUAGUGUCUAGAGAGAUGAGGCUUGAGAGUGUUUGCUGAACUAGAAAAACCCUGGAUUACAGUUUUUGUGGCCUCCUGUUGAAAGAGGAACAGGAAGCAAGAUUAAGAUUCAUCCAAGGUAGAGCAUCAUCGGUACUUAAGGUCUUCUCAGCACAGACUCCAAAUCUCUACCCAUUCAUUGUAAAGGUACAAAAUAAAAUCAGCCUAUUACUUUCCUCAACACUCUAAGAAAAUUAUGUUGCUUAAAAUGACGCCAAGAAUUGACAUCUCCUUGAUCAUUGAUAAACAAGAGCUACUGUUGGAAAUUGCUAUUGAAGUUCACACUACACAUGUGAUACUUAAGAAAAGAAACACUUAAAAGGAGUUUUAGAUGACCCCAAACCUUUGGUCCCCCUCUAGUAGCCAGCAAAAAUAAACAUAAAUCCUUCCUGAAGGACUCAAAAAAUAGUUAUAUGGCUUUUCUUUUUCACCUAUUAAUAUGAUAAUAUAUUUUAUUAAAUUUCCCAUCAUAGGCAUGGAAAAUAUUAAAAUAUCAUGACAGUUAUCUGUUCUACUUGUCUUUAAAGAGCCAGUUUAUAUGUUUAGCUACAUCUACAUUUGGGUUUGUUUCAUUUCUUCUUGUUUUUAAUCUAUGCCUCCUUUUUUUCUGUGUUUUCAUAUUUAAAUUAUCCUUUUAUGAUUUCUUGGAUUAAAUAUCUGGAUCAUGUAUAUCAAAUUUUAUUUUUUUGAAAUUUUACUUAUUCAUUACAGAGAGGGAGAGAGAGCACCCAUCUACCGAUUUUUUUUUUAGUGUUUUUUAAAGAUUUAUUUUAUUUAUUUGAAAGGCAGUUACAAAGAGAAAGGGAGAGACAGAGAGAGCAAGAUAUCUUCUAUCCACUGGUCAACUCCCCAGAUGGCCGCAAUGGCCCAGGCUGGGCCAGGCCAAAGCCAGGAGCCAGGAGUUUCUUGUAGGUCUCCCACAUGGGUGCUGAGACCCAAGCACUCCUGUCCUCGUCUGCUGCUUUCCCAGGCACAUUAGCAGAGAGUGGAGUCAGAAGUGGAGCAGACGGUAUUUGUACUGGCACCCAUUUGGGAUGCCAGCAUUGCCACAAAGCCAGCCUCCAUAAUCCUCACAAUGGCUGGGACUUGGCUGUGCCAAAGCCAGGAGCAGGUCAUUGAAUUCAGGUCUCCAAUAUGGGUGGCAAGAACCCAAUUCCUUGAGCCAUUUCCACUGCCUUGCAAGGUCUGUAUCAGCAAGAAUUCAGAGUCAAAAGUGAGAGCUGAGUAUUGAGUUGAUAUACUAAGAUAUGGGACAUGGACAUCUUAACCCAGCUACCCACCUGCCCUUUAUUUAUUUCUGUAUUUUAAUGAAUGAGUUUAAAGCUCCAAGUUUUAUACUGAUCACUACUAAGUAGUCUGUGAUUUACUUUUAACUUCUGUUAUACAAGUAUUAUUUAGGAAAAUGUUUUCCUUUAAGUUGAAAGAGAAUACAGUUUUAGCUGUCCUUUUGUUAUAGGUUUAUAUUUUAUUUCUUCACAUAAUGUGGUAUACAUAAUUUCUACUUUGGAAAACUCAUUAAAAUUUUCUUUAUGCUCAAUAACCAUCACUUAUAUUGGCAUCAAAUAAUAUGUAUUCUCUGUUGUUCAUGCAGCUUGAUAUUUCUGUUAUGUAUUUUUGACUACUCAUUUGUUGAUUUGUUAGAGCCCUAUAUUUUGUUUCCCACUGUGGUUAUAGAUAAAUUUCUCUUUGUAUUAUGAAACAGUAUUUUUGUGUGCCUGUGCAUAUAUAUAAAGCAUAAUAUAUGGGACAAGGCUUUGAGAGUAUUAUAUAUUUUCCUUGAAAUUUAACUUUGAUCAAUUUAAGUAUUAUUCUCAUCCUAUUUAAUGAAUUUUGUAUUUAAUUCUGAUAAUUCUUCUGAUAGCAUUGCUAUGAUUCAUCUUUUUUCUCUGAUUGUAACAUCUCUCCAACAUAUUAAUUGUGUAGUUUUUAAUAUUAUGUCACUAUCUAUUUUGUUAGUUGGAGUCUGUGUCUUUUAAUGGAGGAAUAAAAUUCAUUAGUACAUAUUGUUGACUAUUGAUAAAUUAACAUUGAAUCCUGCCCCCUCAGUGGGUUGGUUUUCUACUCUAUUUUCUUGUGUAUUUGUUCAUCUUUUCUCUAUUUUUUUCUCAGACUGACCUUUUAUUCUGAUGUUUUGCAAAUUUUAUGUCCUGUUCUAAUUUUUGCCACAUACACAUAUAUGUAAACUUCUAUUUUCUAAUGAAUUCUAAGUAGUCAGUACUUAUGUCACUCAGUUGUAAUAAAACAAAAGGAAACUUUGAAUUUUCUCUCCCAUUUCCUCACAUUUCUGUAUGCCCAUUGCCAUCCCCCUUUGCUAGAUUAUAUUUGUUAGUCUGACCCUGAAACAUGUAUCUAACCUGUGUAUCUGAAUGAAGUACUGUGUUUCUUAGAUAACCCCGCCCUUCUUUCUUGAUUUCUUCUGUUGUUAAAGGAGUGCUCAGCUCAAGUGAAAUAUGCAUUCAAGAAAGGAUACAUAGGAGAGAAAUUUUCCAAGUCUUUGCAUGUAAAAAAAAAAAUCUAUUUUAUUUUUUUAUUUGAGAACUGCUUUUGUUGGAUACCAGAGUUAAAAAUCAUUCUCACAAUUUUUAAGAUUUUUCUGUUUCUUUAACAUUGUUAAUCAAAUGAUUGAUAUAUGACUUUUUUUUCCUUAUAAAAACCUGUAAGAUCUCUUUACCUAGUGAUCCAAAAUUUUAUAAAGUCCAAUCGUGAUUUCCCUCCAUUGACUUGACUUGGCGUACUCGUAAAGGGGCUUUCAUUCUGAAGUCUUAGUCCUUUUUAUCUCUGAAAAAUUAUCUUCUAGUAGUCUAUGAUUAUUUUCCCUCUAUAUUUCCCUUCUUUUUUUACCCCAUUCAUUUUAUUUUAACCCUAUAUAAUCUGUCCUAUUUACCUCUUAACUUCUUUCUCAUAUUUUACCUGUCUUGUGUUUUUAUUCUAGUUUUUGAAGAUUUUUAUCAAUUUUAUUUCAAAAUCCCCUAUUAAACUGGUUAGUCAUAUAUUUAAUUUCCAAGAGCACUUUCUUAUUCCAUUGUUAGUCUUUCUUGUUUUAUGGAUUAGAGGUUUUGCGUUCUAUAAAUAAUCUCCCUUUACUCAAUGAUCAAGUUUUUCAUUUGUUAUCUUUUUUUCUUCCUUGUGAUAUGUAUUUCAAACUGUCUGGUGAUUCUUGGUCCCUUUUUACUUUUUAAAUAGAUUAGCAGAUAAGCUCUGAGUUCUGUAUACCUGAACACAGAAUAUUAGCUAGUUUCCCUUAGAUGAGGAGUAUGUGAAGAUAGUUAUUAUGUUUUACAACCGCUAAAUUUGAAGAUGCUAUUGUUUCUGAUGGGCAUAGAAUUACCUCUUAUUCUAGUCACCUUGGUUCUAGUAUGUUCCAUUCCUUUUGAAAAGGAAUCUCCCCUUUUUCCUUUGAAAUCUUGGUAGAGGGGCAGGUGUUGUGGCACAGCAGUUAAGCUGCAGCUUGGCAUACCCACAUCCAAUAUCAGAGUGCAAAUUCAAGUCCUGACUCCUCUGUUUCCCAUGCAGCUGCCUGCUAAUGUGUUCCGGGAGACAGCAGGUGAUAGCUUGGGCCCCUACCAACCACAUGAGAAACAGGGGUGGAGUUCUGGCUUUGGUGUGGCCCAGCCCUAGCUGUUACUGGCAUUUGGGACUAUAUGAGUAGAUGGAAGAUCUCUCUCUCUCUCUCUUUCCCCCUCUCUCUCCCUUGCUGCCUUUCAAGUAAAUGGAAAAUAAAAUUUUUUAAAAAAAAAAUUUUAAUGGAGGAGGUUACCUGUCUGCUGAGUGUUCUGAGGCCCUGAGUAGGUCUGAAGUCCAUCCACACCUUUGUUCAACACUGCACAUCUCUACUCAAGUCCAGAACACUUUGUGUUUCUGAUUUCCCUGUCUUUCUAGGGUCCUCCUGCAAGUUGGUCUCUCCCUUCUACCAUCCCCUUAACUGCUGUACUUCAUCACUCACUACCCCUUCUAAUUUUCUUCCUUCUGAAUUGUUAUACUCCUUUUCCACUGAUAGGUGACCCCUCAACCCUUUCCCUUAUUGUUUGUUUUCCCUUUAAAAUUUUAUUUCUUUACUGCUGAUUUAAUGAGAUCUCAAGAGAGAAGAGAUAGGAAUAUGAGCUCAACCUAUCAUCACAUAACAGAAACCCAUCUUAAGAGCUGUGACUUCCUUUAUUGUUAUUUUUAAAAUAUGGAAUCUUUAAUUGAUGUUUUGAUUUCCACUUGGAGAUUGAUUUCUAGUCUCUAGGUAGUUUUAUUUACUCUCCUUAUCUUUAGUCAGUAAUUUCUAGUUUUAUUGCCCUGUGAUCAGUGACUGGCCUAUAAAAUUUUAAUUUUUGGAGCACAAUGAAAUUUCCUUUGUAGUAGGGAAUCUAAUCAGUUUUGGUAAACAUUCCACGGAUGUUUGGAGAUAAUUAUGUACUCUGUUAUAGUCACAGAUAUAUGCAUCUAUCAUAUUGGUUACUUUUGUAAUUUACUUUUGAAUGCUUGAUUUGUAAAUGACUAUGUGAAAGAAGUUUUUUUCCCAAAACAAUUAUUUCCAUCUUUUCAUGUUCUCCUUUAAUUUCAAAUAUCUUUUGUGUCAUGUCUCAGUGCCAUGUUGCUUGUAGUAUAAAAGUUCAUAAAACAGGGACCAGGGUUGUGACAUGGCGGGUAAAGCCACUGCUUGCAAUUCUGGCGUCCUUUAUGGGUGCCAAUUUGUGUUCCAGCUGCUUCACAUCCAAACCAACUCCUUGCUAAUGACCUGAAAAAAGCAGCAGAAGAUGACCCAAGUGUUUGGACCCUUGCCACCUACAUGGGAGACCCAGAUGAAACUCCUGACUUUGGCCUGGCCCAGUGCUGGCUAAUGCUGCCAUCUGUGGAGUGAACCAGCAAAUGGAAGAUCUCUCACUCUCUGUAACUCUGACUUUCAAAAUAAAUAAAUAAAUCUUUUUAAAAAUUUUCAUCAAGCUCAUAAAACUGCAUCCUCACGGUGGAUCUGUACUCUUUAGAAGAAAAAUUUUGAGAGACAGAGGUAGAGAGGGAGAUAUAGACAGAACUCCUAUUCACUGGUUCAGUCACCAAAUGCCAGUAACAGAUCUGUGAAUUUAGUCCGAGUCUCCUACUUGGUGACAGAAACCCGAACCUGAGCCUUCACUACUGCCUCCCAGAGUCUGUAUUAGCAAGAAGAUGGAAUCGGGAGCCAAAGCCAAGUUUUUUACUCAGGCAGUCUAAUAUGGGAUAUAUGCAUCCUAACUGAUAUCUCAAUUGAUAGGUCAAACACCCACUCCAUGUACUUUUGUAUCAUCUUAAAAUAACACACUUUGCCUACAUAUUUUGUUUUAAUUUCUUCAGAUAUGCUAUUAAUACUGCAUAUUUUAUUGUUAUUUUAAUUGACAGAGUAAAAUUAUAUAUAGUCUACAAAAUGAUGCUGUGAAAUAUACAUAUUUAAAUGACUAAAUCAAGCUGAUUAACAUAUGUAUUACUUCACAUAUUUACCUUUCUUGUCUUGGAAGGCACUUAAAAUUUAAUCUCUUAGCAAUUUUAAAUUUUAUAAUACAUUGUUUUUCAUUAUAAUGAAAAAUGGUGACUAUAGUCACCAUGUUGUAGAAUAACUUUAUCUUAUCCCUCCUAAUUGAAAUUUUUACCCGUUAACCAAUAGCUCCACAGUUCCCUUUCCUACCCAAGCCCCUGAUAAUCAGUUCAACUUUUUUCUAUUUUAAUAUUUUAUUUAUUUAUUUGAGAGAGCCACAGACAGAGAGGGAGAGACAGAAUGUUCUUCCAUUCACUGGUUCACUCCCCAAAUGGCAACAACGGCCAAGCUGGGCCAAUCCAAAGCCAGGAGCCAAGAGGUUCUCCCACAUGGAUGCAGGGGCCCAAGCACUUGGGCCAUCUUCCACUGCUUUCAGCAGAGAGCUGGAUCAGAAGAGGAGUGACCAGGACAGGAACUGGUGCCUGUAUGGGAUGCUGGCACCACAGAUGAAGGCUUAGCCUACUGCACCACAGUGAAGACCCCAAGUUCAACAUUUUUAGCUAUUUCUUCCUUCCUUCUAUCCUUCUUUCCUCUCUCCCUCCCUCCCUUCCUUACUUGCUUCCUUCCUUCGCUUUUAAAUUAUUUAUUAGAAUCAAGGACUUCCCGCCAGACCUUGUGGAGGUGGGCUUCCAAGAGAGGAAAACCCAAAGGGGACUGGUGACAGUUGGGCUUUAAGUACAAUUUCAAAGGAGAAAAAACUUGUCCAUUAGAUUGGCAUUCAGUUACCAGGUAGGGACAAAAAACCAUCAAAAGAACUCAUUUACAGUUCUCCAUUCUGUCUGGCCUGCUAAGGGUGGGAGCUCUGAGGAACUCCCUUGCUAUUCUCAUGGUAAAAGGAGAACAGCCUGUUAGUUCUUGUUAAAGAUAACAUUUGGGGGAAGGAAGCAAAUAUUUUACACCCCAAAUUCCACUGGGAUUCCCUGGCUAUUAACCUAUCUGACUCCUCCAGGAUGGAAACCCUAACAAAAUCUGUUAGUGGGAACUGGGCGAUGAUCCCUCUAGCUGCUUCAUGCUGAAAGGGGGCAUCUUUGGGAAGGGGAGUCAAGGCAAGGUUGCAGCAGGAGGUGGUUUCUGCAGGGGGAUGCAGUGCCAGCUUGCAGAAACUGCUUCCAUCAGAGGGUUCAUGUGCAUGGCCACCUAGAAUUUUACUUUUUUAAGUCUGGAGAAAACAACUCUAACAAGCAGUUUAAACUCACAGGAUCUAAAAUCACAGGAUCUAAAAACAAGGCCAGAGUCAUUAUUAGAGGCCCUAAGAAAAGUGUCUAAACCAUGAGCAAGUUUUUUUCAUUGAGAGGCAAAUACAAAGUAACAGGAAGGGCUUGAAAAUAAUCAGAUGGGUUUAAGGCCUUUUCGGUUAUGAGGCUCAGACACAUCUAUAUCUCUUCACAGGCACCCUGUUGACUUCCAUUACCUAGCUGGCCUGGGAGGAGAACUGGCUUAAAGAGAAGAUAGGUGGCAUUUCUAAAAGGAAAACAUUUAUUAGUUAGUAUACAGUUCUGCCUGCAAUGUUGUUGACCCUACUUGGCCAUCCCCUUGAUAGCAGUGGUUACUUUGGAAGCUGCUUCGCGUGAAGGGCGUGGCUUUUCUGCUUAGAGCGAACAAGGAGCCCUGACCUGGAUCCCUCCGACUUCAGGACUGGUCCAUUUCCAGUGACCCAACCCUUGGCUGGCAUAGCUGCCAAGCGCUCUUCUUAAGCUGAUUUCUGCUAAAGCCCUGGCUUUCCACAUGGAAAACCAGUGCAGUGGAUUGGCCUGUUGGGUCUCUAAUGGCACAUCACUGUGUAAAGCAGCCAUUAAUUGGCCUGCCACCUAUCUUUAUACUACUUCUGCAGCCUCGCUUCCUCUUCCUCCUGUUUUUUUGUUAACACGGACCAGAGGAAACCUUUAAGAGAAUGCAAGUCAAGGGGGUGCUCCACCCUCAUCUUUGUUAGCCUAAACUAGAAAUGUAUAGUCACAGGCAUGUUCUGAUAGUGGUUCUUCUUUGAGGUAGACAGUGCCCAUGAGGAAAUCUAUGUCAAAAAUGAUGACCACCUUAUUUAUUACAUUUUAAGUCAUUAGUAAAACUCUCUCCCUUUGUUUGGUUAAAAAAAAAAAGGGAAGGGAGGUUUUGCCUGUUCACUGUGCCUAUGGCAAAGUAAAUGUAGCUGGGGAAUCAUAAUUUAAGUUCUCAUUUUGGCAAUGCUAUUAUUACAGAAAAAAUGUUAGCCAUCCCUUUUAUAAGGUCUAAAGAUCACAUUGUACAUUCUAGAGAGUUCUUCAGAAUAGAAUUAGCUUUCUUUAAGAGAAUGGAGAAAUGAAGGAACAAGUUAGGCUUCCCAGAUUGCUUGCUGACAAUAACAAUAUCAAAUGAAAACUAGCAAACAAUUUUAACUGUUAAGUAACAACUUAACAUUUACCCGAAAACAUUUACCGGAAAGUCCAAUGCCU